AGAGUUUGAUCAUGGCUCAGAUUGAACGCUGGCGGCAUGCCUAACACAUGCAAGUCGAACGGUAACAGAACUAGCUUGCUAGUUGCUGACGAGUGGCGGACGGGUGAGUAAUAUAUAGGGAUCUGCCUAAUAGUGGGGGACAACGUGUGGAAACGCACGCUAAUACCGCAUACGCUCUACGGAGGAAAGUGGGGGAUCUUCGGACCUCAUGCUAUUAGAUGAACCUAUAUCGGAUUAGCUUGUUGGUGAGGUAAUGGCUCACCAAGGCGACGAUCCGUAGCUGGUUUGAGAGAAUGAUCAGCCACACUGGGACUGAGACACGGCCCAGACUCCUACGGGAGGCAGCAGUGGGGAAUAUUGCACAAUGGACGAAAGUCUGAUGCAGCAAUGCCGCGUGUGUGAAGAAGGCCUUCGGGUUGUAAAGCACUUUCAGAUGUGAGGAAAAGCAGUCUAUUAAUACUAGAUUGCCGUGACGUUAACAUCAGAAGAAGGACCGGCUAACUCCGUGCCAGCAGCCGCGGUAAUACGGAGGGUCCAAGCGUUAAUCGGAAUUACUGGGCGUAAAGCGCGCGUAGGCGGAUAUUUAAGUCAGAUGUGAAAUCCCUGGGCUCAACCUAGGAACUGCAUUUGAAACUGGAUAUCUAGAGUAUGGUAGAGGUGAGUGGAAUUUCAGGUGUAGCGGUGAAAUGCGUAGAGAUCUGAAGGAACAUCAGUGGCGAACGCGACUCACUGGGCCAUUACUGACGCCGAGGUGCGAAAGCGUGGGUAGCAAACAGGAUUAGAUACCCUGGUAGUCCACGCCCUAAACGAUGUCAACUAGGUGUGUGAGAGUCUAACUCUUGCGUAUCGAAGCUAACGCGAUAAGUUGACCGCCUGGGGAGUACGGUCGCAGACUAAAACUCAAAUGAAUUGACGGGGGUCCGCACAACCGUAGGAGCA
rnacentral:rRNA from 1 species